UCCAACAGCUACUCGCGGACAGCGCGCCUCGUUUUCCGCGCGGCAGCCGAGAGAGGACGGUUCGGAAAUAACUGCUAGCUAUGCGGGUGGGCGGGAAGAACUGCUACCUAUGCGGAUGGGAAAGCGGCUGAGCCUUCCAGUCGGUAGCUGGGCUCUUGGAGGGAGAUGGGUGUUUCCGGAUGUACAUCAGUCAACUGCGGGGAGACUGGAAAACAUGCUGGCAAUUCAAAAACGUUUAAAAAUGGUAAGGCAUCUGUGAGACGUGGUAUAUUCCUGGGUUUUUUUUUUUUUCUUCCCGAUUUGAAAUACAUUGUUUCAUUUGAAGUAAUUUUAAGAGUUAGCUGUCAACAGGAUGAAUGUAAUGGUUCUAUAAUCCGUGGAUUCCUUAAUUUUAAGCCCUAUGUGGUUUGAAUUGUUGCUAAGUGCUGGGAUUUCUAGAAAUUUACAAGCUAAGUGUUUGUUUGAUAAAAAUACAGGUAGUGCAUGAAAGUCUGAAACAUAAAUACAAAAGAACUCAACGACCCAUUUAAAAGCGGUAAUAUUGCCAAUGCUGUGUUACCUCCCACCCCCAUUCCCCUGCCCCCCAUCUAGUAGUACCUAUCUCUAGUUUUGUGUCCAUCGGUUUCUUGAUCCUGUGGCUGGGAGGUGAGAUGGAUAGUUUAUUAUUCAUAUGUAUCUUUAAACAUAGGCAUUAUAAGAAUGAGUAUGCAUGUAGUUGUCUGUAGUUCCUGUGAAUCAUAAUACUAAACUGAAAUUUUCCAAAUUAGAAUUAUUCACAAGCAGUAAUUUUAUUCCUCAUACUCAAGUGAAAUAUUUCAGCAUUUCAAGACAUGAAAAUAAUGAUAGUUUAGCAGGGUCCAAACUUGUAUGUCUUCAUAAAUCAUAUCAAUAAUUGUCUAGCUCAAUGAUUUAUACUCCUGAGGUGCUGUGUGACAUUUGUGUGGCCCUGGCCAUCUCCUUUGCCCUGUUUGUGUACAUUCAGUUAACUUAAACUUAAUUCUGUAGGAAUGUGUCUGGUAAUGCUGACAGUGUAAGGCAUCCCUUCUCCAAAACUACUAGAUUUGCCAUUGUACUGUUUUCAGGUGAAAAUCUUCACCCUAGUUUCUGUACAUCUAGCAUUUAACCUGACUUAGUGCAUUCUAGUCAAGCUCUAGGACAGAAAAGCAAUGGUUGUCUACUCAUUAGGACCAUUGUGUCUUAAAAUCAAUACUGUGAUGAUGAAGGAUAUAAAAUGUUUCCAUCAUUUAUGUAAUUUUUAGGUACUAACCAAUCAAAAGAUUUAAAACACUCAAGUCAUUAACAGAUGUUUUUAAAUUUCGCGUUUGUCAGUUAAUACUAUCAGAAGUAAUGAAACAGGAAUUGUGUUCUUUUAUUCCAUUAGAAAUGUAUUGAACAAGAGAUACUGGUACUUUUAUUAAAAAGUGGGUUGGAGUCCCAAAAGGUAGGUUGGGUUCCUUAGAGGAAUGACAUUUUGUUGUUGUUGAGACAGGGUCCCACCCUAUGCCCCUGAGCAGAGUGCAGUGGGCGUGGUAGCUCACCACAGCCUCAGACUCAGGCUGCAGGCACCCCUCUGCCUCAGCCUCCGGAUGCCGCUGGGAUUACAUGUGCUCAAGGCAGCACCCGGCUGGGUUUUUCCAUUUUUUUCAUGAAUCGGGGUCUCACUGUCGCUCAGGCAAGUCUCUAACUCCUGAGCUCAAGCAAUUGAUUCUCCCUCCUCAGCCUCCCACAGUGCUGGGAUUACAGGCAUGAGCCACUGCGCCCGGCAGGAAUGAAAUUUUUAUUAGACUAUUCCUUCAUAUAACAUGCCAAACAAAUGCAAUUACAAAUGGGAAUUGACAGUGAAAAUUUAAUUUUUAGGUCUGACAAAUCCUAUGAAUUUUGAAGGUGUGUGAAGGUCAUUGUGACAGAUGUUUUCCAAAAGCUUAACAGAAAAUGGCAAUGAAAAAGUAGAACCGCCACUGCAUAUAUUGAGGUACAAAAAGUGUUAAAUGACAUCUUUUUGGGAAUCGUGGUGCUAUUGUUACUAACAAGCAAUACACAAAAUGUUUGAUGUGUUAUCGACGUUGAUAAUGGUGGCAUAAUGAUGACUUAAAUUUUUGCCGUUUACCCAGCUGAGGAUAUCUUUGAAGAAAUAAUUCUUAGACUGAGAUGCCAGUAAACUAUAUUGGUUUAUGUUAAUGGUAUGUAGUACAAUUUUUUACUAAGAGGCUAAAUGUUCUUUCUCCUUAGCACAUAGGUAGCUGCAGAUGGAUGUCCUUUAGCUGCAGUUUUUUGAAAUACUCCUUUGUUGCCUCAGAGGUGUGCCAUGCAACAUUAUGGAAGAAAGAACGAAGACUGCAAGAAAACAGAUGAACAGAAGCAAAUGAUGAAAAUGAAUACUUUACUUGGUUUUACUAACUUCAUUAUAAAUGAUAUAGAAAAUAAAUGUGAGUAAUUAUUUUAAUUGCUGGGCACUAAAGUCUCUUUUCUUUUAAAAUAGCUGUAUUCUUUUUUUUUUUGAGACAGAGCCUCAAGCUGUCACCCUGGAUAGAGUGCCAUGGCAUCACACAGCUCACAGCAACCUCCAACUCUUGGGCUCAAGAGAGGCUCCUGCCUCCGCCUCCCAAGGAGCUGGGACUACAGGCGCCCGCCACAACGCCCGGAUAUUUUUUGGUUGCAGCUGUCGUUGUUUGGCGGGCCAGGGCUGGAUUGGAAGCCAUCAGCUCAGGCGUACGUGGCUGGCGCCUUAACUGCUUGAGCCACAGGCGCCGAGCCAAAAUAGCUGUAUUCUUAAUAGUCACUACUAAUCAGACCUGUUUUUAGCAUACUUUAACAAUGUAAUCGGCUCAUUUGUGGGUGGUGAUCUCAUUGAGAUAAAGCAUGGUGAGAUAUUUCCUGUACUCCCUCCCCACUUUCCCUUUGUAGCUUUUGGUAAUUUCUGGAGAGGCCCUAAUCGCUGCAUGUGUCAUAUCUGGCUUCCCCUUUGUAAUUCUCUAUUGUACCUGAAAAACCGGUAGGACUCUUGAAUGCUUGAAUGCAAUCAAAUUGUCCCUUACGUAAAAGCUAUCACCUUUCUGUGAUUAUAGAUUUUAUUUAAGAUUUAAAUUUUAAGGGCCCGGGCACUGUGGAUCACCCCUGUUGUAUUCCUACCAUUUUGGGAGGUGAGGCGGGUGGAUUGCCUGAGCUCUCAGGUUUGAGACCAGUCUGACCCAGAGUGAGACAUUUCUGGCCACAUGCACCAAGGCUGGCGGGUUUGAACCCAGCCAGGGCCAGCUAACCAACAAUGGUAACUGCAAAAAAAAAAAAAAAAAAUUGGGUGUUGUGGUAGUCGCUUAUAGUCCCAGCUAUGUGGGAGGCUGAGGCAGGAGAAUUGCUUAAGCCCAAGAGUUUGAAGUUGCUGUGACAGCACAGCGCACUACUGAGGGCGACAUAGUGAGAUUGUCUCAAAAAAUAAAGGUGGCGUAGUGGGUGCCUGUAGUUCCAGCUACUUGGGAGGCUGAGGCAAGAGGAUCAUUGGAACCUAAAAGCUUGAGGUUGCUGUGAAUUAUGAGGCCAUAGCAGUGUACCAAGUGCAACAGUGAGCCUAUCUUAAUUAAAAUUUUUUUUUUUUUAUUUUAUUCAGUUUGACUUCAUCUUUGAACACAGUAAUCCUAAUCUUAGUACAAGGAAUAAUUGUGUUAUGUUAGGAGAAACUGGGCCAGCAGGUCUGUCUAGGAUUAAAAGAAUUGAAUUUGAAAACUAGAUUUCUCGCUAGGUGAAGAUAAAGACAGGGAAGUGUUCUGCCUUCAUCCCAUAGAGAACCGUAAAAGAGUUGUACACGAGAAGCACAAGAUAAGCAUCUUGCUAACUGGUAACAUAAAAUUGUAAUAUGUAAACGUUAAAAACUGGCUUUUCCUUCUAACAUUGUCCCUGGCACUAGUAGGUGUUCAGUGAUAGUGAUCUAGAUCUCAGAGAGUUGGUGAGUAGUCCUGCUGUUUGGUUAAGAAACUGAAGUGCCAAUUUUGAAAGAUAUGAUGCAUGAUAGCAUCUUGGUUAAUAAAGUGACAGUUCGGUGAUACUUUGCUUUUCUGUGAAUGGAUGUGAUCUUUCGAUAAGGCUUUGAAGAAUGAGAACUAAAGAUUUAAGAAUUUUUUACAAGAUACGUUUUCUCAUGAUGUUUCUGCCUUUUCAGAGCAGAAAAACUUUCCUUCGAAAAUGAGGACUGGGGGUGGUGCCUGUGUCUCAGUGAGUGGGGCACCAGCCCCAUAUAUCGAGGGUGGCGGGUUUGAACCCAACCCUGGCCAAACUGCAACAACAACAACAAAUUAGCCAGGUGUGGUGGGCUCCUGUAGUCCCAGCUACUCGGGAGGCUGAGGCAAGAGAAUCACCUAAGCCCAGGAGUUGGAGGUUGCUGUGAGCUGUGACACUGUGGCACUCUACUGAGGGCAAUAUAGUGAGACUGUCUCUAAAAAUACAAAAAUGGAGACUGGGCUUCCAAAUUGAUUUCUUUGCCUUAUGGAACCUUUCUUGUAACUAGUGAGGGCUAAGUAGCCAAUUUAUAAAUUACAGUCUCCUUGAUAACAUGUAAAUUUUCAUUUAACCUGACACGUGCAUAAUAUAUGGGGAAUUCCCAAGGCUUUUCCAGAUUCUGUAUUUAGGGCUUGUGAAACUAUGUCAUAGACAUGUCAAAAAAAGCAUGAAAAGACCUUAAAUUUGAAGUUUAAGGUUAUGUAAUUUUUUUUAAAGUUUUGAUCUACCACCAGGAGUCAUACAAAAGGUUAUAUAUAUUCUUUACUCACUAGUUUUGACAAGUUCACAAGUGUAAGGGAAAAAAAAUAGUUUAACAUUAUUUGUAGAUAAAGCAUUAUUGCCAUCUUGUGACAAAUAUAGUGGACUACAUAAAAGUUAUUUUUCACCUUGUUCAGCUUAUUUAUAUUUUUGUCUAUUCACCAUUGAUAUUCUGAGCUAACCAGAAUUUGUUUUUUAAGUAGUAUUCUCCUUGACAACUUUAUCACUUAUAAAUUGUCCACACUGUUCUAAGUUUUAAAAUUCUGCUGUUGGCUAUAGAGGUUUGGAUUAGUAUUUAUCGCAUUAGGAAUUAAUUUUGAGGAGGCCAUACUUAAAUUUUUAAAAAAUCACUCUCAAAUACACUUUCUCCCCUGCUUAGGUAGGAAUGAAGAAAAAAUGAUUUCCUCAAGUCACUUAUUCAUCACUAGAGAAGAUACCUGUCCCUGGUCCAUAUGUGGCAAUAAACUGUUCGAGCUGUCGUUGGCACUGAGUCAGGUAGAUAUCCCUUUCCUCUAAAUACUCUUCAUUAUGCAAUUCAAAUGGAAAUACUGCAUUUGGAGCAACACAAAAUACAGCGGCUCCUAAAGAAGGAAACAGAAUGUAAGUGAGGAAUACUUAAAAUGCCAAAUGUGAGGGCGGUGCCUGUG